GAGUUUGAUCCUGGCUCAGAUUGAACGCUGGCGGCAGGCCUAACACAUGCAAGUCGAGCGGAUGAAGGGAGCUUGCUCCUGGAUUCAGCGGCGGACGGGUGAGUAAUGCCUAGGAAUCUGCCUGGGUAGUGGGGGAUAACGUCCGGAAACGGGCGCUAAUACCGCAUACGUCCUGAGGGAGAAAGUGGGGGAUCUUCGGACCUCACGCUAUCAGAUGAGCCUAGGUCGGAUUAGCUAGUUGGUGGGGUAAAGGCCUACCAAGGCGACGAUCCGUAACUGGUCUGAGAGGAUGAUCAGUCACACUGGAACUGAGACACGGUCCAGACUCCUACGGGAGGCAGCAGUGGGGAAUAUUGGACAAUGGGCGAAAGCCUGAUCCAGCCAUGCCGCGUGUGUGAAGAAGGUCUUCGGAUUGUAAAGCACUUUAAGUUGGGAGGAAGGGCGAGUAAGUUAAUACCUUGCUGUUUUGACGUUACCAACAGAAUAAGCACCGGCUAACUUCGUGCCAGCAGCCGCCG
rnacentral:rRNA from 1 species